rnacentral:rRNA from 1 species
UACGUAGGGGGCUAGCGUUGUCCGGAAUCAUUGGGCGUAAAGCGCGCGUAGGCGGUCAGGUAAGUCCGGUGUGAAAGUCAAAGGCUCAACCUUUGAAUGCCGCUGGAUACUGCCUGACUUGAGUCCGGAAGGGGCGAGUGGAAUUCCUGGUGUGAGCGGUGAAAUGCGCAGAUAUCAGGAGGAACACCAAUGGCGAAGGCAGCUCGCUGGAACGGUACUGACGCUGAGGUGCGAAAGCGUGGGGAGCAAACAGG